rnacentral:rRNA from 1 species
AGCGAACGCUGGCGGCGUGCCUAACACAUGCAAGUCGAACGUGAAUGGGAGCAAUCCCUAGUAAAGUGGCGUACGGGUGAGUAACACGUAGGUAAUCUACCCCUUAGUUUGGAAUAACCUGCCGAAAGGCGGGCUAAUACUGGAUAGAGCGACGGAAGUCAUAAAGACUUUUUCGGGAAAGGGAGCCCGCAAGGGCCCUCGCUGAGGGAUGAGCCUGCGUCCCAUUAGUUAGUUGGUAAGGUAACGGCUUACCAAGGCUUUGAUGAGUAGCUGGGCUGAGAGGAUGAUCAGCCACACUGGAACUGAAACACGGUCCAGACUCCUACGGGGGGCAGCAGUGGGGAGUAUUGCGCAAUGGGCGAAAGCCUGACGCAGCCACGCCGCGUGAGUGAAGAAGGCCUUCGGGUUGUAAAGCUCUGUCAAGCGGGACGAAAAGUUAUUAGGUUAAUAGCCUAGUAACCUGACGGUACCGCUGAAGGAAGCACCGGCUAACUCCGUGCCAGCAGCCGCCGCCG